GACGUUCAACCGCAAAAGAAGCAGAGGGGGCUUAGUGGUGGGGUGACUGCGUACCUUUUGUAUAAUGGGUCAGCGACUUAUAUUCUGUAGCAAGGUUAACCGUAUAGGGGAGCCGGAGGGAAACCGAGUCUUAAUUGGGCGUUAAGUUGCAGGGUAUAGACCCGAAACCCGGUGAUCUAGCCAUGGGCAGGUUGAAGGUUGGGUAACACUAACUGGAGGACCGAACCGACUAAUGUUGAAAAAUUAGCGGAUGACCUGUGGCUGGGGGUGAAAGGCCAAUCAAACCGGGAGAUAGCUGGUUCUCCCCGAAAGCUAUUUAGGUAGCGCCUCGUGAAUUCAUCUCCGGGGGUAGAGCACUGUUUCGGCUAGGGGGCCAUCCCGGCUUACCAACCCGAUGCAAACUGCGAAUACCGGAGAAUGUUAUCACGGGAGACACACGGCGGGUGCUAACGUCCGUCGUGAAGAGGGAAACAACCCAGACCGCCAGCUAAGGUCCCAAAGUCAUGGUUAAGUGGGAAACGAUGUGGGAAGGCCCAGACAGCCAGGAUGUUGGCUUAGAAGCAGCCAUCAUUUAAAGAAAGCGUAAUAGCUCACUGGUCGAGUCGGCCUGCGCGGAAGAUGUAACGGGGCUAAACCAU
rnacentral:rRNA from 1 species